rnacentral:lncRNA from 12 species
AUGGCACAGUUCAGAUACAUUCGAAAUUCCUUUACAAUCGAGGCCUCAGGGGCCUAUCUAAAUGCAAUGAUUGUUCCUCAUUUUCGAUAUUGUAUGACAAGUUGGUCACAGGCUACUAAAACUGCCCUCAAGCCACUUGAGUCAUUAUAUAAAAGCUCUCUAAAGAUUCACGAUAAGAAAAGCAGACGAUUCCAUCACUGUCAUAUUCUUGUAAAAAAAAAAAAAAAAAAAAAAAAAAAAAAAAAAAAAAAAAAAAAAAAAAAAAAAAAAAAAAAAAAAAAAAAAAAAAAAAAAAAAAAAAAAAAAAAAAAAAAAAAAAAAAAAAAAAAAAAAAAAAAAAAAAAAAAAAAAAAAAAAAAAAAAAAAAAAAAAAAAAAAAAAAAAAAAAAAAAAAAAAAAAAAAAAAAAAAAAAAAAAAAAAAAAAAAAAAAAAAAAAAAAAAAAAAAAAAAAAAAAAAAAAAAAAAAAAAAAAAAAAAAAAAAAAAAAAAAAAAAAAAAAAAAAAAAAAAAAAAAAAAAAAAAAAAAAAAAAAAAAAAAAAAAAAAAAAAAAAAAAAAAAAAAAAAAAAAAAAAAAAAAAAAAAAAAAAAAAAAAAAAAAAAAAAAAAAAAAAAAAAAAAAAAAAAAAAAAAAAAAAAAAAAAAAAAAAAAAAAAAAAAAAAAAAAAAAAAAAAAAAAAAAAAAAAAAAAAAAAAAAAAAAAAAAAAAAAAAAAAAAAAAAAAAAAAAAAAAAAAAAAAAAAAAAAAAAAAAAAAAAAAAAAAAAAAAAAAAAAAAAAAAAAAAAAAAAAAAAAAAAAAAAAAAAAAAAAAAAAAAAAAAAAAAAAAAAAAAAAAAAAAAAAAAAAAAAAAAAAAAAAAAAAAAAAAAAAAAAAAAAAAAAAAAAAAAAAAAAAAAAAAAAAAAAAAAAAAAAAAAAAAAAAAAAAAAAAAAAAAAAAAAAAAAAAAAAAAAAAAAAAAAAAAAAAAAAAAAAAAAAAAAAAAAAAAAAAAAAAAAAAAAAAAAAAAAAAAAAAAAAAAAAAAAAAAAAAAAAAAAAAAAAAAAAAAAAACAAAAAAACAACAACAACAACAUGCCUUGA